AGGCCAAAAUCUCAAAAAACUAAAUCAAAGCUUAAUUGCAAGCAUGAAAUUUACCCCAUUCAAACGCAAGAAAGAAAGAAACAACAGCAGGAACCGAUUUGUUCCAGGUAGAAAUCUAAUCUAAUGCAAAAUGGAGAGCAUGCUCUAGUCAUUGCAGCUCUAAAACACAAGAUGACAUUCUCCCUAUAUCUAGGAAACCUUGGCACGCACGACCGCACAUUUCUUUUAAACUACAUCAGUAAAACUUGUUCACAUCUACAACUCAGGUAUCAUCAACUUGUGAGUGAAACACAAAACUUGGGAAUGUGGUGGUGAUGUCCCU
rnacentral:lncRNA from 1 species